rnacentral:rRNA from 1 species
AAAAGGCUUAAAUUUAGUUAAGUGAAGAUAAGACCCUAUAAAACUUAUAUAAAGGUGGGCCUCAAUCUUACCUGAUACUGUUUAUGGUGGAGUGGCUUGUCCUAUAUUUUGUUGGGCGACAGGAAUAGAACUAAGUAUCUGUUAUUUUUAAUUAGUUAAGUAUUUUUAAAAGGGUGACCCUUUUUUUAAGGAUUAUAAGAUCAAGUUACUUUAGGGGAUAACAGCGUAAUUUUCUUUUGAGAGACCAGAUCGACAAGAUUAGUUGCGACCUCGAUGUUGAAUUAAAGUUUUCUACCAGGGGCAGGAGUUUGGUAAGAUAAGUCUGUUCGACUUUUAAAACUUUACGUGAUCUGAGUUCAGACCGG